rnacentral:rRNA from 1 species
UGGGGAAUAUUGGACAAUGGGCGAAAGCCUGAUCCAGCAAUGCCGCGUGAGUGAUGAAGGCCUUAGGGUUGUAAAGCUCUUUUACCCGGGAUGAUAAUGACAGUACCGGGAGAAUAAGCCCCGGCUAACUCUGUGCCAGCAGCCGCGGUAAGACAGAGGUGCCGAGCGUUAGGCGGAAUCACUGGGCUUAAAGCGUGUGUAGGCGGACUUCUAAGUACCUUGUGAAAUCCCACGGCUCAACCGUGGAACUGCUUGGUAUACUGGUUGUCUUGAGCCACCUAGGGGCAAGCGGAACAAACGGUGGAGCGGUGAAAUGCGUAGAUAUCGUUUGGAACGCCGAUGGUGAAAACAGCUUGCUGGGGGUGUGCUGACGCUGAGACACGAAAGCCAGGGGAGCAAAC